UGCCCCUGAGGUCAUCCGUGCAUAUGUGAC
rnacentral:piRNA from 1 species